rnacentral:rRNA from 1 species
UUUGAUCAUGGCUCAAAACGAACGCUGGCGGCAGGCCUACCUUAUGCAAGUCGAACGCCCUAGCAAUAGGGAGUGGCAGACGGGUGAGUAACGCGUGGGAACGUGCCCUUCGGUUCGGAAUAACUCAGGGAAACUUGAGCUAAUACCGGAUACGUGCGAGAGCAGAAAGAUUUAUCGCCGAAGGAUCGGCCCGCGUUCGAUUAGCUAGUUGGUGAGGUAAUGGCUCACCAAGGCGACGAUCGAUAGCUGGUCUGAGAGGAUGAUCAGCCACACUGGGACUGAGACACGGCCCAGACUCCUACGGGAGGCAGCAGUGGGGAAUAUUGGACAAUGGGCGCAAGUCUGAUCCAGCCAUGCCGCGUGAGUGAUGAAGGCCCUAGGGUUGUAAAGCUCUUUCGCCAGGGACGAUAAUGACGGUACCUGGAUAAGAAGCCCCGGCUAACUUCGUG